rnacentral:tRNA from 3 species
GCCGAAGUGGCUCAGUGGUAGAGCAGCUCCAUGGUAAGGAGCAGGUCGCGGGUCCGAUUCCCGCCUUCGGCUCCG